AUGCUCCUGCGUUUUGCUGUACUCCUGUCUGCACCACCAGGACACACCCUCCAAAGCAUGUUUAAUCUAUUUCUGGCAUCUCGGCUCUUGAGGAUUUUAAUGGUAAAUAACAAAGCUCAAAAGACUGACGGUGUAAGAGCAACUCUAGCAGGUGAGCAACAUUUGCAGCAUCAAAAUCAUUUCGAAGCGCUCAACAUAAUAAGCAAUUACAAGUUGGAAUGCACAAAUACGAAGUCGCAAAAAUUCGAACUCCAUAUUUUACAGAUUCACCUUUUUUUUAAGCUCGAAGAUAGUGGGAAAGGCUCGGACGCAGACGAGGAGCACACGGGGACCACACCCACCAGAAUCUAA
rnacentral:rRNA from 1 species